rnacentral:piRNA from 1 species
GUUUUAAUUACACAGUCGGAUUCCCCUGG